UUCAGAGGAGCAGGAACAGGAGCCCGGGCUGAGUCUGAAAAAAGCCGGAUCCAGAAGGUGGCUCCGGAACGGCUGGAAUUGGAAGAUGGAGGAGCCGGAGGAACCGGCGGACAGUGGGCAGUCGCUGCCUCCAGUGUACAUCUACAGUCCCGAGUAUGUCAGCAUGUGCGACUCCCUGGCCAAAGUCCCCAAACGGGUAAGAGAGGUGGGGAUAAAAGACCGUGGGCUUUUAGGGUGGGGGUGGGGGCUGUCNNNNNNNNNNNNNNNNNNNNNNNNNNNNNNNNNNNNNNNNNNNNNNNNNNNNNNNNNNNNNNNNNNNNNNNNNNNNNNNNNNNNNNNNNNNGCACCGGAGGGGGUAGGGGUGCGGGGGAGGGGAUGGUACUAGGGGAUGGUGGCUCCACUACAAGGGAUCCCUGAAGUGGAGAAGACGCUGCAAGAGAAACGUUCCAGCACCUCCGUGAGGCCCGGUGGCUUUCUCCUUAGCUAUUUAUAUACUUUGUAUCUAUUUUGUCUAAAGUGCAUUGCAACUGGUAAGUAAAAAGAAGCGAGGGGAGUUAAAAGUUACUUUCUUUGUUCAGGAUGAUGAAGUCGAUGGUAUUUCUCUGAAAUAAACAUUGAAGAGACGUUUUUCUGCCUUUUUUUUUUUCUUUUUUGUUGAUGCUUCUAGGCCAGUAUGGUACAUUCUUUGAUUGAAGCAUAUGCACUGCAUAAGCAAAUGAGGUAAGUUGUCUUUCUUGAACCAAGCCCUGAAGCUAAGUGCUCCUUAGUAUCCUACUUCACAGUGGACCUAAUUAGGAAGAGAAUAGUCCUUUCUUUCAAAGUUUUUUGCAAUUCAGUGUUUGUAAUCUGCCUGUAACCUAGUGAAAGCUCUUGAAGCAUUAAGAAAACUUGAAAAAAGUACGUAAAGCAGUUAAGACCCAUUAGAAAUAAGAUUCUAUUACUGGAAGGGAAAGUAAUUUAGGGAUAGGUGCCCUGUGGAGAUUUCAAGGUGAGUACCUUAGGGUAGUAAAACCCAUCUGAUGGAAAAGAAAUUUUAUUCACCUGUGACAUGUUCUGAGAUUUCUAUGUGUUUAUUUCUAAGCCAAAUCUGAGGGGGUGUGUUCAACUUAAGACUUUUAGACACCCCAUCACCAUCACCUAACUUUUACAAUUAAGCCUGGAGACAAGUCAAGACCAAAGCAAAACUACAACCAAACCAGAACUCAGCACACACUUAAGUGUUGCUUUAAAAAAAAGAAUGAACUUGCUGUUCAUCAUUAUAAGAAUGGAUAUUUUAGCCCUGUCACUUGUAGGAUUAUUUAUGAUAUUGUCUCGCCAAAUAGGUGAGUGUCUACUCUGACUUGUGUAGUAUACUUCAUUUAUUCCCCCAGAAGGUAGUGUAAUAGGCUUUCAAAUUUUAUCCUUGUUAUUAACAAAAUCAUUUACUGAGUACCUUUUUUUUUUUUUUUAGCCCAUAUGUUUGGUAGACGUGAGAACUAUAUGCCUUCCAUCACAGUUACUUAACUUGUCCAAAAAUUACUUUAUGGGCACAUGGGUGGUUUAAGCAUCCAACUCUUGAUUUCCACUCAGGUCAUGAUCUCACUGUUCGUGAGUUCGAGUGUCACAUCAGGCUCCAUGCUGACAGUGUGGAGCAUGCUUGGGAUUCUCUCUCUUUCUCUCUCUUUCUGCCCCUUCCAUGUGUGCACGCUCUCUCUCUCUCUCAAAUUAAAUAAAAUAAACAUAAAGAAUAUUUUAAGACAAACAAGAAAUCGAUGCAAAGCAGAACUGUCCCAUUCACUUGCUAUUAAGCAGAGAGGCUUUCUGUAAGUGUUUGUUAGAUAAGAGGAAGGGCACUAGAAACCUUAGGGCAGGAAAACAUGGUCCAAAAAACUGUAACAUUUUUAUUUUAAUGCACAGGUUUGUCAUUUUCUUGAAGGAGAAGCAAGAGUCCUUGUAUCUUGGCCAUGUAUAUGGAAAUUUUUUGAUAUUUAUUUAUUUUUGAGAGACAGCAUGUGGGGGAGGGGCAGAGACAGAGAGAGAGGAUCCAAAGUGGGCUCCGUGCUGACAUCUGUGAGCCUGAUGCAGAGCUUAAACCAUGAGAUCAUGACCCGAGCCGAAGUUGCACCCUUAAUCAACUGAGCCACCCAGGCGCUACUAUAUAUACUUAAUCGUUGAGACUGAGCUACAGGAUUCUUCUGGCCUGCUUGGUGACAGUACUAGCCUAUACAGUCAUAUUAAUUCAUGAAAAACCCAUGGCUGAGUUCCCAUUCAGCAAACAAACAAAAAAAAAAAACACUACUGCCUCCCUGUGGCGUAGGCCAUCGCUUUUCCAACUUGAAUGUACAUAUGAAUCACCUUGUUAAAUUCCGAUUCUAUAGAUCUAAGGUGGCGCUGAAGGCUGAAGUUCUGCCUGUCUGACAGGCUCCUAGGUGCUGCUGCUGCCGCUGCCGCUGCCGCCGCCGCCACCACUGGUCCAUAGACUACACUUUAAGGGGCAGUGGCAGAGUCAGGAAAAGAAAUGGGGAAUAGGCAGACAAGUUAAAGGUGGUAAGUCCGGUUGUUAGCUUAACACCACCCUGUAUUCUGAGUCGCUUCUAUUUGUCACUUCCUGUGAGAGCUUCUGAGCAAAGUCCCUUCUCUUCUUCCUCUCAGAGGUGGAUAUGAGGGACCAAAUAUAGGAACUUUUAUGUUUUGAGUUGCCUAUUUGUUAUCUGUUAGUAUUAACAAUAAUGAUAGUCAUCCACAAAGCAUUUCCAUAUGUUACCAUUUCAUUUUCACAUUAAGUCCCAUAAGAUCUCCCCACUUUACAGGUGAGGAAACUGAACUACAGAAGUCAAUUUGCCUGAGGUUAUGGAGCUGAUAAGUACAGAGUUAAGAAGAGGUGCUCAGUUCUCAACUCCAAAUUCAAAAUUCAUGAUAAUAAAGUUGCCUAUUAAAGUAAAAUUAGGGGCAACUGGGUGGCUCAGUCAGUUAAGUGUCUGACUCUUGGUUUCGGCUAAGGUCAUGAUCUCACAGUUCAUGGAAUUGAGCCCCAAGUCAGGCUCUGUGCUGACAGUACAGAGUCUGCUUGGGAUUCUCUCUCUCCAUCUCUCUCUGCCCCUCUCCUGUUCUCUUGCUCGCUCUCUCAAAAUAAAUAAAUAAACUUAAAAAUUUUCUAAAGUAAAACUAUAGCUGAAAGGAUUAUAUGUCCCAAUUAGGAACUAAUUCAAGUGCAAAGAUCUCUGCCUACUAGUUUGUCAUGGAAGUUGUAACUCACAGAGUGAAGUUUCUCCAAUAUCUGAUUAUUUCACUUAAAUAUAAUCACUCGCUUUUUUUUUUUUACUACCUGUGAACUCAAGGAGAUCUGUCCUCUCACCCCUUAGUGGAAUCAUUACAGAGAUGUGAGGAAGUGAAGACUACAUCAGUAAAGGAAGAGAACAUGUUUAUUAUUUCAGCCCACUGGAACUGGGAGCUGGGAGUUGUAUUUUCUGCUCAGACUGCUGGCUCCUGCUUCCAGUUUCUGGCAUACUCUGGUUCUGACUCACUCACCUCUCUUUGUUCUCUGUUAUUAUUAGGGUAGUUAAGCCCAAAGUAGCCUCCAUGGAGGAGAUGGCCACCUUCCACACUGAUGCCUAUCUGCAGCAUCUCCAGAAGGUCAGCCAAGAAGGAGAUGACGAUCAUCCAGACUCCGUAGAAUACGGGCUAGGUAAAGUCAUUACUGGGCAGUGAUGGGAGGUAGACAACCUCCACCUAUAAAUUGUAACUACUUAUUUUACAACUUGCAUGAAAGUCUUUAUUUUUUAAUUAAAAACUAAUGUGUUAACCACAAUAUUAAUCUCUUAGCUUAAACACGUAUCUCACUUAAAAAGCAAACCAUAUGAGUUGAGCAAAACCAAAUGACGGAUUAGAUGGAGGAAAAUCUUUUAGUUGCUUAGGCCCAAUAGCAGUGCCCACAUUGGGUCUGGCUGUUAAAACUUGAGUACAUGUUUAUGUUCUGGAUAAGUUUUCAACCCUAUUUCACAUUAAACAGCUGUAUUUUUUUAAACUGUAGGUGGCCAAUGGGAUAGUCUAGAGAAAUAGCAUGGUUUAGUAGAACUCUGGUCUGGGAGAUAGUGAGUAGUGAGUCAAGGGACCUGGGUCCCAGACCUGGCUCUGUAUGACCAAGAUAAGCUAUAUCACCUCUCAAGACUCUGUUUCUCCAUCUGUAGGGUAUGACUAGCUAAUCUUGAAGAUUUAGCCUUUCUAGGUCCAAUGCUUUAAAAAAAUUAUUUCCCCAACAUUGGAGAUGUUUGCUUCUCAUUUGGAAGCUGAUGUUACCACAGGAGCUUUUUGGUAAGAUAUGUUGUUGUCACAUCUCAAGCUAUUCCUCCUAAUAGAGUUCCAGACCCACUUCGAAUGUGUGGAGGUGGGACCUUCCUCCUACACCCCCACUCAAUGCUCAGGACACUAGCUGGGUGUCCUACAAUUCAACUCUGACACUAUCUGCCUGGAGAUAGCAUCAGAUCCCACAGGUUAAGGACUCAGUACCACAACACUGCUCUACUCUUCAGAUACCAAUCACAAGCCCAGGUUGUUACCUGUGCUUCUGACUGGCCAUAAAUCAGACGUCCCCACAAUCCCCUCUUUGGGUUUAAUUUUCUAGAGCAGUGCACAGAACUCAGGGAACCCAUUUAAUCACUAGAUUACUAGUUGCUUACAAAAGGAUAUGUAUAACUCAGAAUGGCCAGAUGGAAGAGAUGCAUAGGGCAAGGUAUGAUGAGAGGAUGUGGAGCUUCCAUGCACUCUCCAGGCAUACCAGUCUCCCCACAUGUCCACGUGUUCACCAAACCAGAAGCUCUCCCAGCCCUCCUUUUGGGUUUUAGGAGGCUCCGUUACAUAGGCAUGACUGAUUAGAUCAUUGACCAAUUGGUGAUUGAACUCAAUCUCCAGCCCCUUCCUCUCUCAGGAGGUCAGGGGAUAGGACUGGUAGUUCCAACCUUCAAUCACCUGAUUUGCUCCACUGGCUACCAACCUCCAUCCUUAGGUGUGAUCCACAGGUCACCUCAUUAGUAUCACAAAGACACCUUUAUUGCUCUCAUUGUUCAGGAAAUUCCAACAGUUUUAGGAGCUCUGUGUCAGAAAUGGAAAUGAAGAUCAUGUAUAAAUAUUUCUUAUUAUAUAAACCACAGUAUCACACCUCCUCUUUCUCAAAUUCAUCUUUUAACAAACUCUUCUGAUGUUUGCCCAAAGGUUAUGACUGUCCAGCCACUGAAGGGAUAUUUGACUACGCAGCAGCUGUAGGAGGGGCUACAAUCACAGCUGCCCAAUGCCUGAUUGAUGGAAUGUGCAAAGUAGCAAUUAACUGGUCCGGAGGGUGGCAUCAUGCAAAGAAGUAAGAAAAUGACCUUUCUGCUUUCUGCCUCUUUCCUUGAGUCAGUUUCUCAGUUAUGUAAACUCUUGUGCUUAUUGUAUCAGCAUUUAUUGGGAGACUUGUGUAUGCAUAUAGCACUUUACCAGGCAUCCUGAAGAGAUACAAGUGAAAUAGAAGAAGAUAGGACAAUAUAAUGGAAACCACACCAUUGAAAGGCAGGAUACCUGACCUCUAUGCCUAGUUUUUCUACAAACUUGGCUAACUGACCUGGAAAGAUUAACCUCUCUAAGCCUCAGUUUUUCCAUCAGGAAAAUGGGCAGGGCAAAGGAUAUAACUAGACAAUCUCUACAUUUCUUUCCAGCUUUUUGGAAAUUCCCCUCACUUCAAGGGACUUAUGCUCUAGAAACACUAACAAAAUUAGAAUAAUUAGGGAGCAAUAUCAAUUUUUUACCCACUGAAUAUAUGUAUGAGCUGAAGAGAUUUAGCAGUAUGGAGAAAUUAAUCAUGGAAGUCUUGGAAGAGGUGAAUUUUAGAACUAGUUCUGAAAGAAGUGGCAAACGGAUUUUCAAACAGGUGGAAAAUUAAUGAGAAUAGAUUAAAAACAAAAUGCUGAAGAAUCAAGAAGGAAGCUCAUGCUACCAUCUCUAGGGAUAGUGGCAACCAACUGAGAGAGUUCAGUGUCACUCUAAGGAGAAAGGGCUUCUGAAACAGCUGUUCUCAGGUGCAUACUGUUGGCCAUGACUUUGAUACUCCUUCGUGCUCUGGAGUCCAGAGAAAAUGGCACUUUGGUUUUCAGAAUAAAACUUUGAGUACAACCUCAGCAGAUGAAGGUUAAGAUACUAGUAUGGAAUUCAUUUCAUCAAAUCGGCAGAUUUUCUGUGUGACCAAGGAAGUCCUUGAGAAAAUUUACUACUAGAAUCUACUACUGAGGUGAUGGCGCUAAGAGAACCAGUGUUUAAUAAGGAGUUUUACAUGGCCUUAAAAACAAAGAGAAACAGCUUACCUUUUGUUAGCUUUUGCUCUAUUAAAAAUUUUCAAAAUAAAGACAGUGAUUCCUAGGACAAAAAAAAAAUGACCCUCCUUUAAACCACACAUGAAAGGCAGAGUGGGGGGGGGGGGGGGGGGGGGACCCAGCCUCUCUGAACCAACGACCUCUAUUCGAAUCCUCUUGUGCUUAUCAAGUUGGGAAGAAAAGUAAUGUGGUUUCAUGGAAAAUGCCUGAUCCUGUGAAUUAGAUCUAGUUUCUGCAUGUGGCACUGGAGGAUCUUAUACAUUGAGUUUUUAAUAAUUUUUUGAAUUUUUUUAAUAUUUAUUUUUGAGAGUCAGAGACAGAGCAUGAGCGGAAUAUGGGCAGAGACAGAAGGAGACCCAGAAUCUGAAAUAGGCUCCAAGCUCUGAGCUGUCAGCACACAGCCUGGCACAGGACUUGAACCCACAAACUGUGAGAUCAUGACCUGAGCGAAAGUCGGACGCUUAACUGACUGAGCCACCCAGGCACCCCAGAUCUUAUGUAUUUAAAUUCAGGGCCUGGAUCCGUUUCUAGUGGAAUACCCAGAUACCUGCCACAUGUCACUGUUUUGCUUUGAAAUGAAGCAUACUCAAUCUAGAGCCAAUCAUGGCUGCUUCUGGGCUACAUGUAGGUGGGUAUUAUCUUAACUGUUUCAGACAGCUUUCAGAUGAUCCUACCUGGAAACAGACACUGUGGUGAAUAGAAAUUACAGAGAGUCUCUAGGGAUUGCCCCAAUUCUGGUCCAAAUUCUAGGGGGUUCUUGGCACCUCUGGAACAUCUCUGCAAAUGGACUACAGGCAUGUAGCCCACCAACUUACAUCUAGCAAGCAUUAUCUAUUAUAACCACAAUAUUUGUUUAAACUUUUCCAUCCCCAAAUACUUGUAUGGAUUCAGACAUGCCAUUUAUUUAUUCAGCAUGCACUGAUUAAGCACCUACUAUACGCCAAGCAUAUGCUUAUCAUCACUAAUAAGCAGAGAUAUAAAAAUUGAAGCAUGGUAUAUUUUUCCCUGACCAAUUUUGAAAACAAAUCUUCAAAAUAUUCUUGUUCUGGUAUGGUUACAGUGAAACUGGUACACUCUUUUUGAAAGCUUUGGAAAUAAGUGUUUAAAAGAGUGGCGAAAAUGUUCAUACCUGUGGACCCAGUAAUAUCAUUCUUAGCAGUCUAUUGUAAGGAAAUAAAACCAAUCCUGCCCUCAAGAAAUUGAUACCUUAAGAGGUAAGACAGCAAAUAAUUGCAUUCAGAAACUAAAAAACAGUGAUUUUCAAAGACAAUUCUUCAAAAGAAGAAUGAUGAGGGACUAAUGCUAUUAGAUAUUAAACAUACAAAACUAGAAUAAUGAAAACAUGGUACCACUGGUAUAAGAUUAGACAGAUGAUAUUACGGUAUGCUCUCCAAAGAGACUUUUACAUAUAAGAAUUCAGCCUAUUAUAAAAGAUGCUUUGCAAGUGAAUAGGAGUGGAAAGGAUUGUUCAGUAAAUGAUGUUGUGACAGCUGGUAGCAUUUAUAGCCUCAUUUCCUGUAAUAAACUAAAAGAAGUGGCAGCUAGAUUGAAGAGUUAAAUAUAAAAAAUCAAAUUAAAAAAACUAGAAUGAAUGGAUAUUUAUCAGGCUUCUGAAGGGGAAUAGAUUUUCUAAGCUUAGGAAGUAAUAGAAAAAAUUCCCAAAGGAAAAGAUCAACAAAUUUAGAUAUAUAAAAUUUUAAAUCCAAAAUAAUUUUUAAAAGUUUUUUGGUCAUUUAAAAAAUAAGAUUUAAACACAGACUAAAAAGGCAUAUUUGACAAAAAUAUGACAGAAUGUGACAGGUUUAUAUUUUCUAAGUAAGGCACUUAUACAGUAUGAUGUAUAAGAAGUAUGGGCAAAGAGCACAAAUAGAAAAUUUACAAAGGUGUUUAAGAACAACUGGAAAACAUGGGGCAAUGCUCAUCACUACUGAUCAAAGAAAUGCAAAUUUAAACAACUAAGUAGCCUCUCUUUAAGCCAGAAUUGAAAAAGAUGGUACUUAUUUGACUGGUAAUAGUGUUUCAGCCCCUUAAAGUAAUUUGGUAGCUAAUGUGUAUUAAUGCCCUUUAUCUACCUUAGGGAUAAGGACUAAUGUCCUUUAAUCCUACUACUGAGAAUAUUUCCAGAAAAAAUAAUGCAAAAUAUACAGAAAAACUAUUUGCAUGGAAGCCUUUAUCAGUGUUACUUAUGAAACAAAAAAAAUUAGAAAUAAUGUGAAUAUGUAGUAAUAAGGAAAUGGUGAAUCUACUCCAUAGAAUAUUAUGCUAUUUUUUAAAUGAUGAUUAUGAAGACUAUAGAGCAUUUCAGAAAAAUACUUACGUGUUAAUAAAAAAUCAGGUUUUAAAAUUGUAUGCACACUGCAAUUACAACUUUAUAGAACAUACACAUAUUAAAAAAACAGUGGGAAUAAUUAGGGUGGCAGAAUUAUUGAUGAUUUUUAAAAAAUGUGUUUCUUUAGUUUGCAAAAUUUCUGGAAAGAGAUUUUAUUACUUUUGCAGCUAAAAUAUUACCAAAAUAAAAAGAUGCAAAAAAAGUUACAGCAAAUAUUACAGAUGUUUAAAUUCUUUAUUCUAAUUGAUUUUUUUUGUUUUUAGUUUAUUUAUUUGCUUUUGAGAUAGAAAGGGAGAGUGAGAGAAAGAAUGAGUCGGGGAGGGGCAGAAAGAAAGGAAAGAAAAUCCCAAGCAGGCUCCACGCUGUCAGUGCAGAGCCCAACAUAGGGCUCAAUCUCACCAACCAUGAGGUCAUGGCUUAGCCGAAACCAAGUGUCAGAUGCUUAACCGACUGAGCCACACAGGCGCCCUUCUAAUUGAUUUUUUAAAACGCUAAAAUUUAGAUAAAUGGACAAAAGACAUGAACAAUUCACAAAAGAGGAAACAAAUAGUAAAUAAACAUGAAUAAAUAUUUAGCAUCACUGAUAAUUAUGGGAAGAGAGAUUGAAAUAUAGUAUAUACAUGUAUACAUUUUUCUCCUCCCAGAUUUGAGCUGAAGGAAGAAAGAUUUUUUACCUCAUAUAUCUAUAACUCUUGGUAAUCUAACCUAAGGAAAUAAGCCAAUCCAAAAUAUGGAAAAGUUGUGUGUAUGAAGAUGGUCAUUUCUCUCUUAUAGCCAAAAAAGAGGAGGGAGACCUGAAUAUCCAACAACAGCAGAAUGGUUAAGUUUUAUACUGUAACAUAUCCACUUGAUGGGCUAUUAUGUAACCAUUAACAAAUGGUGGUUAGGAUGACUGUAUAACAAAAAAAGUGCAUAUUGGGGUGCCUGGGUGGCUCAGUCAGUUGAGCAUCUGACUUCGGCUUAGGUCAUGAUCUCACGGUUGGUGAGUUCAAGCCUCAAGUCGGGCUCUACACUGACGUGUGGAGCCUGCUUGGGAUUCUCUCUCUCCCUCUCUGUCUGCUCCUGCCCCACUCUCACACUCCUCUCUCUCUUUCCCUCCCUCUCUCCCUCCCUCCCUCCCUCUCAAAUAAAAUACAACUUUAAAAAACAGUGCAUAUUGUAUAAUGUUGGCUUUGUUUUUAAAGGGCAGGUAGCUAUAACGUUGUACAUUCACUCUGAUUAGUCAUGUAAAAAAAUAGAUGCUUAUGAAAAAAACAUUUUUUCUUCUUAGAAGGAAAUACAACAAAAUGAUACUGGUGACUUUGUGAGGAUGAUGAUACUGUGAAAGAUAUAGAUAUAUAUAGAUACAGACAUACAUACAUACACACGUAUACAUGUAUCUUUUUUCUGUUUCCUAUAUCUUCUCUAAUGUGUAUUUUAUCAGCAGAACUUUUUAUAGUAAAAACUGCUUGGAACAAGGUGGGAAGCAGUUACAGUACAGACACAAUAUGACCAGUGUAUGCUCCAGUUAUGUGCAGGGUGGUGGAGUGUACAGAAGAAGGAGAAGGAGUUUACCUUCCUAUCAUCAGCAAGGAUGGAGAUUUCCAAGCAGAGGGAACAAUAAAAACAGGGCAGUGGAAAGUAUGGGGCAUUUGGAGAAUUGCAAGUAGUUCAAUGUGGCCAGAAUGUGAGGGCAAAUAGAGCAAGACCAGACUGUAAAGGUUUUGUAAGCUAUGCUGAGGAGUUGGACUUUUUUCUCGGGCCAGUGGGGAUUUACUGAAGAAUUUUAGAGAGGGUGGCAAUGUGCUGAUUGGAUCUGAGGGAACUGAGACUAGAGAGGAGAAGGCCAUUGCAAUUAUUCAUUUAACAAACUUUUAUUAAGCUCCUGCUGUAUUCCAGAUGAUGAGGAAACAAAGAGUUAUACAGGAGGUUCUUAUUACUCUAGGGUACUUGGUACCAGACAGAAGGCCACUUAGUGAACCCAUUUAAAAGGGGGACUAAACCAUCAACUGACAAAUGGAUAAAGAAGAUGUGGUUUAUAUAUAUAAUGGAAUACUACUUGGCAAUGAGAAAGAAUGAAAUCUGGCCAUUUGCAGCAACAUGGAUAGAACUGGAGGGUAUUAUGCUAAGUGAAAUAAACCAGGCAGAGAAAGACAGAUACCAUAUGUUUUCACUCAUAUGUGGAUCUUGAGAAACUUAACAGAAGACCAUGGGGGAGGGGAAGGGGGGAAACAAAAAGUUACAGAGAAGGAGGGAGGCAAACCAUAAAAGACUCUUAAGGACUGAGAACAAACUAAGGGUAGAUGGGGGUUGGGAGAGAGGGGAAAGUGGGUGAUGGGCAGGGAUGAGGGCACUUGUUGGGAUGAGCACUGGGUGUUGUAUGGAAACAAAUUUGCAAUAAAUUAUAUUUUAAAAAUAAAAGGAGGACUAAAAUUUUAGAGUAAAUAAUGGAGCGGGCAGGGCUUGAUUAGUACACUAACUUGAAUAAUUAAAAACUGUUAAAAUUCGUUUGUGUCUUAAUAGAAUUGAAUGCUAUGUAAUUCUUACAACAAACAAAGAAUGCAUUGAGGAUUGAUUGCUUUUGUUUGGGCCUAAUUUUUCAAACAAAAGUGUGCAACAUUUCAAGAUGGUACAUUUGACUUUCUGUGAGAUUUUUGCAGCACAAUCGUUAAGAGGGUUGAUUUUGCCAAAAAUGUUCAAGGGUUUUUCCAGUUUUUCUGAGGGCUUCUCCUUAAUCAUUUGGUAUUCAAAUCACUCUCUUUUGAACAACUUUUAAAAUCAGUAUCCUUAGUUAUUUUUCUCCUCUUCAUCUGUAAACUGGUCUACAGAUCCUGGUUGUCAGUUUCGUGUGUUAACUUCAUGAUAUCUUGCAUAUUUUUAUAAGAUUUGUAAUUUUACUUUGUGAUAGAUUUGUAGUGAAUUGCUCACUGAUAUAUAUGACAAUCCAUAAAAAACAUAGUGAUUGAACAGAUGGAUAGAGAUAGGUACUAGUGUUUAAACGAGUAGGUUGUUUGAAUGGAGACUGACAAAAGUGGUCAGUUCAUUAGCAAAUGCCUUCAUGCUAUGACAGCUUGUGUAUCCCUAGGAAACCUCAAAACCUUGAUACUUCUGGGGCUAAGGCAAUAAAUUCUCAGUAAUAAGAACUUUCUGUAUCAGCAAAAGUCUAGUGCAGUGUUUUUUUAACUGAGAGUUGCAGCUCACUAACAGAACAUUGUGUCAGUUUAGUGGGCUGCAGCCAGCAUGUUUUGAUCCCAAGGUGGAUUUCAUGAAACUUGUUCUAGUGUAUGUGUAUGUAUUUGUGUGUACUAGGCCACAAUGUAAAAUGUCAAGUCACUGUGGAGUGAAAUGACUGUGAACUUUGAAAUAAGACUUAGGUGCAAAUCCAGGCCACACCAUGUACUGGCUAUGUAUGUAACUUUGGGGUUAUUCCAGAAACAGCAUGUGCAGGGACAGAGAUGCAUGAAGGCUGAGGGAACUUCCAAGUCUGUAAUUAAAGCUGGAACUCCUGUAGGUAAGUGACUGUAAGAAAGGUAGGAGAGGUAUAAAGGGUCCUUAUAUGCCAAGCUACAUAGUUUGAACUUAAUCCUUCAGAUCAGUGGUUCUUGACCUGUUUUGGUCAUGGACCCUCUGAAAAUCUGAUGAAAACUAUGUAUACUGUCUACUGUGUAGAAAAGUGCACAUACACAAAUUUUUCCUUGUAAUUUCAGAAAGUAUAAGACUCUCUUAAAGCCCUUGUCUGGAUGGAUGGAUCCCUGGUUAAGAACC
rnacentral:lncRNA from 1 species